UACGUAGGGUGCAAGCGUUGUCCGGAAUUAUUGGGCGUAAAGAGCUCGUAGGCGGUCUGUCGCGUCUGCUGUGAAAACUCAGGGCUUAACCCUGAGCUUGCAGUGGGUACGGGCAGACUAGAGUGCGGUAGGGGAGACUGGAAUUCCUGGUGUAGCGGUGAAAUGCGCAGAUAUCGGGAGGAACACCAGUAGCGAAGGCGGCACUCUGGGCCGUGACUGACGCUGAGGAGCGAAAGCGUGGAUAGCAAACAGG
rnacentral:rRNA from 1 species